ensembl:lncRNA
AGCUUUUGUAUGGUCUUGCCUCCACAAUUUGGAUCGCAGGAGGCUCCAAUGGUUUUUGUAAUAGUCCCUUUUUUCCUGAUUGGUUGGCCUGUGCGUGUGCGUGUGUGUGUGUGUGAGAGAUCAUCUGACGACAUAUCAAGCACUUAGACUGUGCUGAUCUUGAGUGACAAAGAAAUCCCCAGAAGAUGGGCAUGGAACAAAUGCACAGCAUGACUUAAACACGUUUAUGUGCUGGCUACCUAUUCUACAACCCCUCUGUAAAUCUCCUCCUCUCUCUUUGUCUCUUUAUUUAUGUCUUUCUGACUUGGGGACACCAGGUUGUCCAACUAGACAUGUCUUUUAGCUGUGGGACGGCCGGAAAGGCAGGGAGCCUCUGGCCCUGAGUAGAGAUUACUGCUAAAGGAAAGGGUCUCGUGUCUCUAUACUGUAUAAACCCAGACCGUAUUUAACCGUAAAACAGGCUUGCCCUCAGCUCUGAGUACAAGCUGCGGAAGGGUGAGUUACACAUAGCAGCCUAUUCCCUAGAAGUGCACUGCUCUGUUAAGUGCUCCGUGGAAUAUUACGUCACAGUGUUCCCAAGCCUCAUCAAACUCGUCAUAAUCCCAAAAAAACCCAAUCUUCAAGAUUCUACAUAUUCUAGAUUGUAUAGAAUGUGAUAGUAAAGUAACAGUACUACUUUUUGGGUACUUUGUACAGUAUAAUGGUACCACUGGUAUAAACGUGGCUAUGGUUUUCCGAACCGCUUCAGUUAGUGGAGUGAUUUAGCAGCUACUGCUGAAUGGUGAUGGUGCGUGCUUCUGUUCUGUGUAGCUUUGGUACGUGUGUGUGUGUGUGCGCGAGUCAGAAGGGCACCCAACCAAAGCAUGUGGGCGAUUGUAGAGGUACACAAGAAUGUAGUCCUAGGCUAGGCGGUGAAGUGUGGGGAUGGAAACCACCGGAUACCUUGUGCGUUUGGGGUCCUGGCGCGUUCAAGGUGGGGGAAUUCGACAUGCCAAAGCCCGAUCUUGUAGUGGUGUUGUAAGAUCCUUCGUGAACUUAUAUGCUCGUGGUCAGGAUGUUUCAAGGCUUCGUUCUGAGGUCCUUCCUAAUUGCUCCCCUACACAUUAAACCCACCACAACCCAACAUUGUGAUUAAGUUGUUUGAACAUUGUUCGAAUGUUGACAGACUUUCUGAUUGCUACCCUAGGGUUUCAAAUGUGUUUUCGUUUUUAAAAUAUGCACUGUCAGGAAUCUCUCACUAUGUACCUUUAUCUUCCUAUGGUAGUUAGUUAUCAUAGAAAAAUCUAUUAUACUUGAAUCAAUAUGCAGACACCAUCUGCAAGAUAUUCAGACAUACACACUUUAAAAGUUCAGCCCUAACCCAUAUUUCCAAUCUAAUUUCCAGUAGACUGAUGCUGAAAGAGCUGUCAUCCCCUUUUUAAAUUUCAAAUAUGUUUAUUGUAAAGUUCUAGAGUCUUUGUGGAAGUAAAUGAACUCGGCCGCAAAGGUUUGUAUCACAUAUUUUGAAUAAGGUGUGAUAGAUAUGACACAAUCACGUUUUCAGGCGACACUUUCCCAUCGCGUUCUUGUUCGAAGCGUGACAUCAUGACAGUGUGAGGUGACUGCAGUGAUAUAACUACUGAAUGUUAUGUUUUUUGUGCCUAAACUGCUGAUUAUUGUUUUUGAUUGAUACGCAUAAUGAAUGUAAGCGAUUUUUCACUCCUUGAUUCACUUAAAUAAUUAAGGUUUGAAUCAAAGAUAUCCCAAAAAGUCCUGAAUCAGUUAGGGUACCGCAUUAGAACUGAGGCAUUACGGUCAUGGACUCCCCCCUAUGUACCCUGAAAAAUAUCAGUAAAUUAAAGGUUUAACACAGCUCCUUUAUCGCGGUAUAAUUUCUUGGUGAAAACUCUAAACCCUACAGGGAUUCUUUUCAGUAUAAAUGAUGAACAGAAGUUCACAGCUUAGAGCAGUUUUCCAUGCAGAGAUGAAGACUGUCCAGACUUCCAACUGGCUGCUAUUUGGGAGCGUUUUGUAACUCGUUAUUGGUCUUUUAACGAAUCCAAUGAUGACGCCGGACAGGCCAAAUCUCCAACCCGCCCAAACAGUCUGAGCUGUCACAUGGUCUUUUCAAAUAGCUCUCUUACUAAGAGAACAUGUUCAUAAUUUCGCAGUAUUAUUCUGACUUCGUAGUGGGGUUUCUUGACUGCUAUGGGUCUUUAAAUGUUCUUCCUUAAUAAAGUGC